AACGAACGCUGGCGGCGUGCCUAACACAUGCAAGUCGAGGGAGAAAAGGGGCUUCGGCUCCUGAGUAAACCGGCGCACGGGUGAGUAACACGUAGGUAACGUACCCUGGAGCCCAGGAUAACCAGUCGAAAGACUGGCUAAUACCGGAUACGACUAUGAGGUCUCCGGAUCUUGUAGUGAAAGAUGGCCUCUAUUUAUAAGCUAUCACCCCUGGAUCGGCCUGCGCACCAUUAGCUAGUUGGUGGGGUAACGGCUCACCAAGGCUGAGAUGGUUAGCUGGUCUGAGAGGAUGGCCAGCCACACUGGGACUGAGACACGGCCCAGACUCCUACGGGAGGCAGCAGUGGGGAAUAUUGCGCAAUGGGGGAAACCCUGACGCAGCGACGCCGCGUGGGUGAUGAAGGCCUUCGGGUCGUAAAGCCCUGUCGGGAGGGAAGAAACACUCCGGACCUAAUACGUCCGGGAAUUGACGGUACCUCCUAAGGAAGCCCGGCUAACUCCGUGCCAGCAGCCGCCGUAACAC
rnacentral:rRNA from 1 species